rnacentral:snoRNA from 1 species
UUUCAUGAUGAUACUUCGAUAUUCACACUGUGUGAGCGGUUUCUGCCGUUUUGAUCUUACUAAAAAAAAUCUGAUUUAAUGAGGUA